GACGAACGCUGGCGGCGUGCCUAAUACAUGCAAGUAGAACGCUGAAGAGAGGAGCUUGCUCUUCUUGGAUGAGUUGCGAACGGGUGAGUAACGCGUAGGUAACCUGCCUGGUAGCGGGGGAUAACUAUUGGAAACGAUAGCUAAUACCGCAUAAAAUUGAUUAUUGCAUGAUAAUUAAUUGAAAGAUGCAAUUGCAUCACUACCAGAUGGACCUGCGUUGUAUUAGCUAGUUGGUGAGGUAACGGCUCACCAAGGCGACGAUACAUAGCCGACCUGAGAGGGUGAUCGGCCACACUGGGACUGAGACACGGCCCAGACUCCUACGGGAGGCAGCAGUAGGGAAUCUUCGGCA
rnacentral:rRNA from 1 species